rnacentral:rRNA from 1 species
GUGUCAGCCGCCGCGGUAAUACAGAGGGGGCGAGCGUUAUUCGGAAUUAUUGGGCGUAAAGGGCGCGUAGGCGGCUUGACAAGUCCAAGGUGAAAUCCCUCGGCUCAACCGAGGAACUGCCUUGGAAACUGUCUGGCUCGAGGCCGGGAGAGGGUAGUGGAAUUCCCAGUGUAGCGGUGAAAUGCGUAGAUAUUGGGAGGAACACCGGUGGCGAAGGCGGCUACCUGGACCGGAUCUGACGCUGAUGCGCGAAAGCGUGGGGAGCAAACAGGAUUAGAUACCCCUGUAGUCC